rnacentral:rRNA from 1 species
CUACGGGAGGCUGCAGUGAGGAAUAUUGCACAAUGGGGGGAACCCUGAUGCAGCGACGCCGCGUGGAGGAUGACGCAUUUCGGUGUGUAAACUCCUUUUAUAUGUCAAGAAAAUGACGGUAGCAUAUGAAUAAGCACCGGCUAACUCCGUGCCAGCAGCCGCGGUAAUACGGAGGGUGCAAGCGUUACUCGGAAUCACUGGGCGUAAAGGACGCGUAGGCGGGUUGGAAAGUCAGGCGUGAAAUCCUACAGCUUAACUGUAGAACUGCACUUGAAACUUCUAAUCUAGAGUAUGGGAGGGGGAGAUGGAAUUAGUGGUGUAGGGGUAAAAUCCGUAGAUAUCACUAGGAAUACCUAAAGCGAAGGCGAUCUCCUGGAACAUUACUGACGCUAAGGCGUGAAAGCGUGGGGAGCAAACAGGAUUAGAUACCCCAGUAGUC